rnacentral:pre_miRNA from 1 species
GCGUUUGGAAUGGUCUCGUUAGCUAACGAAUGGACUAAAAUGCAAUUUGCAAUUCGGCGCCAAUUAUCCAGGCGCCAAAAAGUUUAGUUUCGAGACCACUCUAAUCCAUU